GACGAACGCUGGCGGCGUGCUUAACACAUGCAAGUCGAACGGGCCUGUCUUCUUUUUUGGGGGGUGGGUUGAGUGGCGAACGGGUGAGUAUCACGUGAGUAACCUGCCCUUCGGUCCUGGAUAACCGCUUGAAAGGGCGGCUAAUACGGGGUGGUCCGGUUGGUCCGCAUGGGCUGGUCGGGAUAGAUUCACUGUUUUUGGUGUUUCGGCGGGGGAUGGGCUCGGGGCGUAUCAGCUUGUUGGUGGGGUGCGGGCUUACCAAGGCGUGGACGGGUAGCCGGCCUGGGGGGGUGGGCGGCCACAGUGGGACUGGGAUACGGCCCAGACUGCUGCGGGCGGGAGCAGUGGGGGGUAUUGCACAGUGGGCGGAAGCCUGAUGCAGCGACGUCGCGUGAGGGAUGGAGGCCUUCGGGUUGUGAACCUCUGUUUCCGGUGGUGAAGGCCCUGUCCGUGUGGUGGGGUUGACGGUAGCCGGGGAUGAAGCGCCGGCUAACUACGUG
rnacentral:rRNA from 1 species